UACGAAGGGGGCUAGCGUUGCUCGGAAUCACUGGGCGUAAAGCGCACGUAGGCGGAUUGUUAAGUCAGGGGUGAAAUCCUGGAGCUCAACUCCAGAACUGCCUUUGAUACUGUCGAUCUUGAGUCCGGGAGAGGUGAGUGGAACUGCGAGUGUAGAGGUGAAAUUCGUAGAUAUUCGCAAGAACACCAGUGGCGAAGGCGGCUCACUGGCCCGGUACUGACGCUGAGACGCGAAAGCGUGGGGAGCAAACAGG
rnacentral:rRNA from 1 species